CAACAGGGAUUGCCCUAGUAACGGCGAGUGAAGCGGCAACAGCUCAAAUUUGAAAUCUGGCUCUCGGGCCCGAGUUGUAAUUUGUAGAGGAUACUUUUGAUGCGGUGCCUUCCGAGUUCCCUGGAACGGGACGCCAUAGAGGGUGAGAGCCCCGUCUGGUUGGAUGCCAAAUCUCUGUAAAGUUCCUUCAACGAGUCGAGUAGUUUGGGAAUGCUGCUCUAAAUGGGAGGUAUAUGUCUUCUAAAGCUAAAUACCGGCCAGAGACCGAUAGCGCACAAGUAGAGUGAUCGAAAGAUGAAAAGCACUUUGAAAAGAGAGUUAAAAAGUACGUGAAAUUGUUGAAAGGGAAGCGUUUAUGACCAGACUUGGGCUUGGUUAAUCAUCUGGGGUUCUCCCCAGUGCACUUUUCCAGUCCAGGCCAGCAUCAGUUUUCCCCGGGGGAUAAAGGCGGCGGGAAUGUGGCUCUCUUCGGGGAGUGUUAUAGCCCACCGUGUAAUACCCUGGGGGGGACUGAGGUUCGCGCAUCUGCAAGGAUGCUGGCGUAAUGGUCAUCAACGACCCGUCUUGAAACACGGACCAAGGAGUCGUCUUCGUAUGCGAGUGUUCGGGUGUCAAACCCCUACGCGUAAUGAAAGUGAACGCAGGUGAGAGCUUCGGCGCAUCAUCGACCGAUCCUGAUGUUCUCGGAUGGAUUUGAGUAAGAGCAUACGGGGCCGGACCCGAAAGAAGGUGAACUAUGCCUGUAUAGGGUGAAGCCAGAGGAAACUCUGGUGGAGGCUCGCAGCGGUUCUGACGUGCAAAUCGAUCGUCAAAUAUGGGCAUGGGGGCGAAAGACUAAUCGAACCUUCUAGUAGCUGGUUUCCGCCGAAGUUUCCCUCAGGAUAGCAGUGUUGAACUCAGUUUUAUGAGGUAAAGCGAAUGAUUAGGGACUCGGGGGCGCUAUUUAGCCUUCAUCCAUUCUCAAACUUUAAAUAUGUAAGAAGCUCUUGUUGCUUAAUUGAACGUGAGCAUUCGAAUGUAUCAACACUAGUGGGCCAUUUUUGGUAAGCAGAACUGGCGAUGCGGGAUGAACCGAACGCGAGGUUAAGGUGCCAGAGUAGACGCUCAUCAGACACCACAAAAGGUGUUAGUACAUCUUGACAGCAGGACGGUGGCCAUGGAAGUCGGAAUCCGCUAAGGACUGUGUAACAACUCACCUGCCGAAUGUACUAGCCCUGAAAAUGGAUGGCGCUCAAGCGUCUCACCCAUACCUCGCCCUCAGGGUAGAAACGAUGCCCUGAGGAGUAGGCGGACGUGGAGGUCAGUGACGAAGCCUAGGGCGAGCCCGUACC
rnacentral:rRNA from 1 species